rnacentral:rRNA from 1 species
GUGGCGAACGGGUGAGUAACACGUGAGUAACCUGCCCCUGACUCUGGGAUAAGCGUUGGAAACGACGUCUAAUACUGGAUAUGACUGCCGGCCGCAUGGUCUGGUGGUGGAAAGAUUUUUUGGUUGGGGAUGGACUCGCGGCCUAUCAGCUUGUUGGUGAGGUAAUGGCUCACCAAGGCGACGACGGGUAGCCGGCCUGAGAGGGUGACCGGCCACACUGGGACUGAGACACGGCCCAGACUCCUACGGGAGGCAGCAGUGGGGAAUAUUGCACAAUGGGCGAAAGCCUGAUGCAGCAACGCCGCGUGAGGGAUGACGGCCUUCGGGUUGUAAACCUCUUUUAGUAGGGAAGAAGCGUAAGUGACGGUACCUGCAGAAAAAGCACCGGCUAACUACGUGCCAGCAGCCGCGGUAAUACGUAGGGUGCAAGCGUUGUCCGGAAUUAUUGGGCGUAAAGAGCUCGUAGGCGGUUUGUCGCGUCUGCUGUGAAAUCCCGAGGCUCAACCUCGGGCUUGCAGUGGGUACGGGCAGACUAGAGUGCGGUAGGGGAGAUUGGA